AAAGUCGUAACAAGGUUUCCGUAGGUGAACCUGCGGAAGGAUCAUUACACUAUCUGCAGUAGCAGCUGUAUUCUUAUAGCUGGUAUUGUUGAUUCUGCCCUUGUCUUAUGCGCACCCUGUUUCCUCGGCUGCCCUAGCUAAGCAGCCGUCAGGACGUUCUAUAACCUUGUGUACUGUAAAUCAGCGUCUGGAGGUAAUAAUCUAUUACAACUUUCAACAACGGAUCUCUUGGUUCUG
rnacentral:misc_RNA from 1 species